AGCCUCGGCUGGAGAACUCCGACUCUUGCGAAAGCACGAGGUGCAGCAGGGGCGGGGUGAGGGGGGGCGGGGAGGAAGGGGGUGGGGCGGGGCCGGGGCGGUGAAAGGGUCCGGGGGGGCGGGGCGAGGCCGCCGCGGUCCGGGCGCCCGACGUGUGCUCGGGGCUCAGUAGCCAGCUCCUGCCCGGGCGCGCACACGCGCUUCCUCUCUUGCGCUCCCGGGCGUCCGGAGGCGAAGGUCCCGGAGCGUUCCCGAGAAUCCGGGUCGCAGCGAGUCCAGGGUCCGCUCCACCACCUGCGCGCGGGGCGCACGAGCCGGCCAGCCUCGGGGAAAGGGUGCGGGCCGCUGGGGGUUCCCGCGGGAAGAUGAGGAAGCCGGAUAGCAAGAUCGUGCUGCUGGGCGACAUGAACGUGGGGAAGACGUCGCUGCUGCAGCGGUAUAUGGAGCGGCGCUUCCCGGACACGGUCAGCACGGUGGGCGGCGCCUUCUACCUGAAGCAGUGGCGCUCCUACAACAUCUCCAUCUGGGACACCGCAGGGCGGGAGCAGUUCCAUGGCCUGGGCUCCAUGUACUGCCGGGGGGCAGCCGCCGUCAUCCUCACCUACGAUGUGAAUCACCCGCAGAGCCUGGUGGAGCUGGAGGACCGGUUCCUGGGCCUGACGGACACGGCCAGCAAAGACUGCCUCUUUGCCAUCGUGGGGAACAAAGUGGACCUCACCGAGGAGGGGGCCUUGGCGGGCCAGGAGAAGGAAGAGUGCAGUCCUGAUACGGAUGCCGGGGACUGUGGCUCCCCCAGGGUGCCUAAGCAGGUGCAGCUGGAGGACGCGGUGGCCCUUUAUAAAAAGAUCCUCAAGUACAAGAUGCUGGAUGAGCAGGACGUGCCGGCCGCUGAGCAGAUGUGCUUUGAGACCAGCGCCAAGACCGGCUACAAUGUGGACCUCCUGUUUGAGACCCUGUUUGACCUGGUGGUGCCAAUGAUCUUACAGCAGAGAGCUGAGAAGCCGUCACACACAGUGGAUAUAUCCAGUCAUAAGCCACCCAAGAGGACCAGAUCUGGGUGUUGUGCCUGACUUUCGAGCCUCCCGGACUCAGACUGUGCAUGUGGGGAGGGGUCUGACCAGGCAAGCUGUGAUCUGAAAGGAGCAAGGAACACCAAGGAAUUAUUUUCCAGAGUGACACACGCAGCAGAAUGUUGGAGUGGAAAUGAUGGCUGGCUAUGAAGAGGAGGUCAAUGUGUGUGGUCUCCUCGGUCUCUGUCAGAGGGGUGGGGAGGUGGGGAAACAGGAAUCCUCUGCAAAGCCCAAUCUGCGGAGUCGAGACCCCUGGCGCUCUCUCCCUCGCCGCCCGGCACUGGUCCUUUGCAGCCAGCCUCCGACGGCCCCCUCACCCUUGCACAGGCAGAAGCCUGCGUCUGCACCUGCACCUCCGACCCUUUCAGCACCCUGGGUUGUUAACACGUCCUACGGCUUUGACAUUUCUUGUUCCCAAGCGUUUCUCUUCACUAGCAGCCACUCCAGGGAGGAGAAGAGCAAGUGACGGUCCGGGGUUAAUGGCAGCGUGUGGUCUCGGAGCUCCCUUCUGCACGUUUCCAGCUGUCUGUGUCCCCAUGCAGAUGAGAACCCUUUCCUCAAUGACACCUCAUAAUCAGGUCCCACUCAGGCUUCCCGAAAUCACCUUCCCACAUAGCCCUGCUGUGUAGAGGUCCUGGCCUUAGCCAGCUUCUGGGGGAACACGAGCUAGGGCAGCUGUUUAUCUAUUUCAAACAUUAUAAGGUCUACUUUCUGUUGCGUCAACAUGUUUAGCCUUUAUGGAAGUGCAUGGCAGGCCUCCUGGAUCCCAGAGUUUGUGUAUAAGUGCCAUCUGGCUUGGCCGAGCAGGCUUUGAGUGAAGGCAGAAGCCUGUCCAGCCCUGAGCUGCCUGCUCUUGUCUGCUAAUGAGCAGGGAAUAAGAAGUGGAGACGUCCUCCCGGGCACCUGUGGCUUCACUGUGGCCUGAAGGAGCCGAGGCUGUGCUGGGAGCUGCCCAAGGGAGACACCUGGGACUCCCAGCACGAGCUCAGAAGGGAGCGUGAUGUGCGAAGUCUUAGAGGCUGGCACAGCCAGGUAAGAGCUGAGUUUGCUGCACACACGCACAAGCAUACACGCGCACAUACACACACAGUGUACACUCAUGCACACACAAAUGCACGCAUGCACACCCAUGCAUGCACACGCACACGCAGUACAUCCUUGUGUACACACCCCUGUGCACACACGUGCAUAAGUGCACACAGUGCAGGCACACGCACCCUUUCCAAUGUGCUCCUCUCAGUGGGCAAGCCUCUGCCUUUGGUACUCACAGCAGCUCGUAUAUCUUAAGAGAACUGCCUGGAUGAGAGGCUGUGACCUGCAGAAGGGGCUGUGAGGCCUCCAGAUUGUAGCCAGAAUUGAAAAAAGAGGAACUAAAAUAAUGGCCAGCUAGAUACUGGAGCCUCCACCAGACUCGCUUUGAGAGAGGCCACUGAGGGAGGGAGGAAAAUGGCUUUUGCUGCUGCAGUCUGCAUCCGUGGCUCUGCCCUUGUCCUCCCUCCCACAUGGUGCUCGCUUGUAGGGAAUGCAGAAAACGCAUCCUCUGGGGCCACCUAUCCUCAUGGACAAAAGAAGGGUGAGCCGGGUGCUCGCCUCAGCACUGUUCUCGCCUUCUGUGCAUCCACUGGGGACAGUGGGGCAGUUGCUCUCAGCCGAGCUGUCCUCUCCUCUCCAAAGUCAGCUCUCAUUAUGCUGAGAUACCAGCAGCCCUAGUGGUACCAUAUGCCUGUCACCACACGGAAGGGAUCAAAGACUAUGUAAAGCACAGACGAGGCACACAGCUGUCUUGGUUUAGGUCCUGUCUCCUAGACAGCAGUCAGGACACAUCUGGAGGGGCACAUCUCCAGUACACAGAUGUGUCUGCUCACUUACCCAUCGUCAGGGCCGGUGGGGACUUUCUGUUGUUCUCAGAAGUCAAGGUACUUCUGGCCCAUCUGUUCUGACCCCUGCAUCUGUCAGCAGGGUGACAGCAGCCAUCUCAACCCAUGCCUUUUGGGGAUGUCAAGUUCCAGGCUUGCUGAGGCUGUUAGCCAUUUAUUAAAGCAGAGAGGUAUGUGUGCAGAGGAUAAUGCCUGCUUAUCUUGUGACAGUAAUUUGAAACCUGAUUGCUAACAGAACAGGGGAUGCCUGGCCUUUUUGGAUACUGUGUAAUCAUGCCCUUCACAAGAGAGAGGCUCAUUUAUUUUGACUUUAACAAUGGGAGUUAAAAAAAUAGAAGCAACCAAAGCUUACUUCCUCCAUGACACAGGGGCACCCCAAAGGUCACUGUGAAACAAAAGAAGGUUGCUCCAAAGUCACCUUCCAUGAUAUGCUUCUGGAAAGGUAGAAGUUGUGCCUGUCCCUGCCCCAGGAUUUAGUAUCCUGUUGCUCCAACUUAUCAUAGCAACAACACUUGUUAAAAUGCCAAUACUGUUUGUCUUUUCCUUCCUUUCCUAGAAUCUGGACUUUUUUUUCCUGUUUUGAAAGAUUAGCAAUCAUUAUGUAAUUUAUAUUUUGUGUAUAUAUAUAUAAUUUAUGAAAUAUUUAACAUGCUGGGCAUCCGAUCCAUGUAGUUGGAGUGAUGACAGUUAUAAUGCCUAUAAACUCAGUGGAAGACCCACUGUCCUCAGCGAGACUCUUUUCUCCCUAUGAUAGUAUACAGAUAGAUGGUCCCCGAUUUACCAUGGUUAGACUUCAAUUUGGAGUUUUGACUUUUUGAUGGUGCCAAAAGCAAUAUGUAUUCAAUUCACUAUUGGAUUUCUGGUGGGGCCACAUCCAGAUAAACCCAUCAUAAAUUGAGAAUGCACUUUCAACUUAACGAUAUCUUCAUCUUACAAUGAAUGUGUCGGGACGGGACCCUACUCCAAGUUGAGGAGCCUCUGCUUUAAGAGGUAAUAUUGCAAGAGAGACUACGGUGCUGUGGUCUCUUCCCUGGAGAUGAAGCUAAACCUGAUCUGGCCAAAGCUGAGAGUUCUCUAUUUCAUACCCACAGGCGAUCUGCCAGGGUGGGUGGCACCUUCCCAGGUCCUGGCUGUGCACCUUCUCCUGGAUUUCAAAGUACAUAGGCUCUCCGUUUUAUACCCAAAGGUAGUCCAGAAUUUUCCUCAUGAAUAUAUAUCCAUGUUAAGCCAGGCAGUUAAUAGGUAUUUCUUGAAGGUAUUUAAGGUUCCAGACAGAUUCUAAAUAAGAUCAGGAUUCUGGAGAAAAGUCUUCUAUAUAUUUAGACUUUGGUAAACCCAAAGCAGCUGUACCUUUGGUGUUGGUGUUAUACUAGUAAGACAGAUAAUAGGCAAAUUCGUCCUGGUUACACUCCUUACGAAGGCCUGGUGGCAAAUUAAUGAGCCCUUUCUGGGUGGGGGAAGCCCUGUGCCCAGCAUGUGGCUCAGUUAGCAAAGUGUAAGCUGUAUUCCAGCUCCCACUCUCUCCCUGGGCCAAGUGCCCUCGUGCAGUGCACACCCUCAACUGCCCUGACGCUUCUUACAAAGGCAGCUGUUCUUGCCGUGUCCCCAGCCAGGGUGCGGUUGGGGGGGGGAACUGGGCAAAUGCCACAUACCAUGAGGAAGGAAUAUCCGAUCCACAAACUCCGCCACCCCGCCGGGCAGUGCGGAAUGG